rnacentral:tRNA from 1 species
GGAUUGUGGUUCAGCGGUAUAGCACUCCUCUAGCACAUGCGAGGCCCUGGGUUCAAUCCUCAGCACCA